rnacentral:rRNA from 1 species
AUUGAACGCUGGCGGCAGGCUUAACACAUGCAAGUCGAACGAGUGGCGGAUGGGUGAGUAAUUCUUGGGAAUCUACCUUAUGGAGGGGGAUAACUACGGGAAACUGUAGCUAAUACCUCGUACCAUAGGAUGAGCCCAAGUGGGCUUAGGUAGUUGGUGAGGUAAAGGCUCACCAAGCCGACGAUCUCUAGCUGGUCUGAGAGGAUGACCGGGCAAACUGGGACUGUGACACGGCCCAGACUCCUAGGGGAGGCAGGAGGGGGGAAGAGUGCGCAAUGGGAGAAACCUGACGCAGCCAGGCCGCGUGAAUGAAGAAGGCCUGCGGGUUGUAAAGUUCUAUCGGUAGCGAGGCGGUAACUACAGAAGAAGCACCGGCUAACUCCGUGCAAGCAGCCGCGGUAAUUC